CCACCAGCGACCCGCAGCCUCGGCCCCCGGCCCCAGCCCUGAGCCCCGCGUUCCGCACCCUCGGCCCCUUCCUGGCGCCCAGCACGGGCCCGCCGUGGCCCCCGCGGGAGGGUGUGUCUGGGGGGCUGCGGGGGACGUUGGCGCCGCGUCCCCAGAUGACCCCUCGGCGGGGGCGAGAGGCCGCGGGGAGAGCGGGCAUCGCGCCGCGGGCGCGGACCGUCCGGGAGGCUGUGGGCCUGCGCGGGCGGGGGACAUCGCGUUUCCCGGUUUAUUUCCUCCUCGCAGGUGGCCGGAGCACGGCAGAGGGCCCAGCAGGCGUCUGCAGGGCAGAGGAUGCCCAGGGCCUGGAGGGCCCUUCCUUGAGCGACCCGGAUGACAACAGUCCCCACCUGCUGGGGUGGAUGAGGUCAUGGGAGUCAGCGCCGAGAAUAGGACCUGGCACAAAGAAGAAGAGAAAAUGGAGGCCAGAGACUCGAGGACUCAUGGUCACAGAGCUGAACGUGAUCCAGACCUGGGUCGUCUGGUUUCACGGACUGCCUCUCCAGGCCAGAGACGGGUGCAUGGUAGCCCCUGACUAAGCAUGUGAGCUGUUUCCCUCCACCUCAUUUCUGUGCUUUUGAAACCAACCUGGGCCUGCACUGAAGACCCAAAUGGAAAUAAGGAGUGGCUGUGGACGAAUUCUUCUUUCCGUCUCUCCGGGAAGUUGGGAGAGUUGAGGACGAUUUUGCAAUGGCCAGACAUCCAGUUUGUGAAAUACUGCUGUUUUUUUUUUUUUUCCUUCC